UACGUAGGGUGCAAGCGUUAAUCGGAAUUACUGGGCGUAAAGCGUGCGCAGGCGGCCAUGCAAGACAGAUGUGAAAUCCCCGGGCUUAACCUGGGAACUGCAUUUGUGACUGCAUGGCUAGAGUACGGCAGAGGGGGAUGGAAUUCCGCGUGUAGCAGUGAAAUGCGUAGAUAUGCGGAGGAACACCGAUGGCGAAGGCAAUCCCCUGGGCCUGUACUGACGCUCAUGCACGAAAGCGUGGGGAGCAAACAGG
rnacentral:rRNA from 1 species